CUUCCAGGUGCCAGGCUGGCGGCCUCAAUGCACGGAACAGGGACCCACCCUCCCGAGGAUGCAUGUGGCACAGUGCCUGGCACACUGGAGGACCUGGGAAAGGUGGUCUUGAGCUGGUUUCUAAGAACUGACUGUCAAGUAAUUACCACCUAAGGUCUCGCUGACAUAUUUCAGCCCUCCUUACUGUUCUCGUCAGUUUUGCGAAGAGACCAUCCUCUCCUCCCUUCUGGCUCAGUGGUCAUAAACUUGGUUCUUUAGUGUGGACUCUGGUUCCCUUCCCUCCGGCCCAGGCCAGGCAGUGAAGUCUGAUGGGCCGAUGGAACAUCACGUGACGAGAGGAAAUACAUACAAGAAGUGUGUCCACCAUUUCUUAUUGCCC